UAAAAUGGUUACAAGUGAAGACACAAAAAUAAAUCUAUUCAGAAGGAUAUAUCAACUGAAUUGCGGUCACCAAUUGCCAUUCCUUUUGGCCUAAUAAAGUAUCGAAAAGGGAAAAUGAAAAAAGGAAAAGAGAAAAAUAUGAGAAAGAAUUAGAAUCGUGGUCACAAGGAAACUUUGGAUUGUUAAUCAUCAUUGAUUGAAUUGAUUCAAGUUGAUGAAGUUAAGUGAACAAAACUGAACAAUGCAAAAAAUAAAUCGUACAAGUUUAACAUGAAAAAAUGGCCUAAACUCUAGUGUUUUUUUGUGUUCAUCAGAAAACAAAAGAUGAAAUUAAAAGGAUUGGCAUUGGAUUGGAUAAAUUGAAAAAUAAUUGAUCUGGUCAAAUCUGAAGAGUAAAUGAUUAGUUUUUACAUUACAAAAGGUCCAACUGGUUAUUUGUCAACAAUCAUCUGAAUUGUUUAUCACAAUCAGAUAUUCAAAAAAUGAUAACAACAUGAAAGCGCAAACGAUGCAAGAAAAGCAAAGGAAAAAUUCGUGGUUCCAAGAGGUUGCUUAUUAUCAUUAUUACACAUUUGUUUUUAAUUCAAUGUUAUUCAAUAUCUGACAAGGAAAUGGUUGACAAAUGUUGAAAGAAUCAAUUUAAAUCAUGUAACAUGAAUUAUGACAGAAUUAGAAUGUGAAUGAGACAAAAUGAAAAACAAAAUCUGAUUCAAUGUUGAUCAACUCUUCAGAAUGAGCAAUUUUUGACUCUUGCAAUUUCAAGUCACGUUCACUAUGAAGAUGAUGAUGUUAAUAAUAGUGAUGAGCAAGAA